UACGUAGGGUGCAAGCGUUGUUCGGAAUUACUGGGCGUAAAGGGCUCGUAGGUGGCCAACUAAGUCAGACGUGAAAUCCCUCGGCUUAACCGGAGAACUGCGUCUGAUACUGGAUGGCUUGAGGUUGGGAGAGGGAUGCGGAAUUCCAGGUGUAGCGGUGAAAUGCGUAGAUAUCUGGAGGAACACCGGUGGCGAAGGCGGCAUCCUGGACCAAUUCUGACGCUGAGGAGCGAAAGCCAGGGGAGCAAACGGG
rnacentral:rRNA from 1 species